AGAGACAGUGGCCGGAGCAAGGCAGCAGGGCGCAGGCAGGUAGGGCGCAGGGAGGCUCCAGGAAGUUAAGUCACUUGCAGGAGGAAGCAGAGCCAAUCCGGAGACAGCAUGUACUCACCCAUCCCCCAGAGGUAGGCUAUGCACCCCGUUCCCUUCACCCCUCCCCUCUUCUCUUCCAAGGGCUGCCCCUCCUCACCCCCACACCACAGUCCCCAGGCCUGCCCAGGUCUCUCUGCUUGUCUCCUCCACCACUUGUGGGCCCCGGCCACCACCAACCCUCCCCCCUCCCGCAGUGGCUCUCCGUUCCCAGCCUCGGUGCAGGAUCCCGGCCUGCACGUAUGGCGGGUGGAGAAGCUGAAGCCGGUGCCCGUGGCCCCUGAGAACCAGGGCAUCUUCUUCUCGGGAGACUCCUACCUAGUGCUGCACAAUGGCCUGGAAGAGCUCUCCGACCUGCACCUGUGGAUAGGCCAGCAGUCGUCCCGGGAUGAGCAGGGGGCCUGCGCCGUGCUGGCCGUGCACCUCAACACCCUGCUUGGGGAGCGGCCUGUGCAGCACCGAGAAGUACAGGGCAAUGAGUCCGACCUCUUCAUGAGCUACUUCCCACGUGGCCUUAAGUACCAGGAAGGCGGCGUGGAGUCAGCAUUUCACAAGAGCUCCCCAUUGGCCACCCCGGCUGCCAUCAAGAAACUCUACCAGGUGAAGGGCAAGAAGAAUAUCCGUGCCACCGAGCGGGCGCUGAGCUGGGACAGCUUCAACACAGGGGACUGCUUCAUCCUGGACCUGGGCCAGAACAUCUUCACCUGGUGUGGUGCAAAGUCCAACAUCCUGGAGCGAAACAAGGCGCGGGACCUGGCGCUGGCCAUUCGGGACAGCGAGCGCCAGGGCAAGGCCCGGGUGGAGAUUGUCACCGAUGGGGAGGAGCCUGCCGACAUGAUCCAGGUGGAGAGCUGUGGGGAGGGUAGCUCUGCUUGGAAGCCCCUGAGAGAGGCAGUGAUCAGCUGGGGGCACGAGGGCGACGCGUGGAGGGCUGUGAGGGCAUCUGCGGUGCUGCUCAGGGCUUGGCUAACUCAUCGGGUGCCUUGGUGGGAUUCAGAGUCAAGUACCCCUCGGGACGGAGGGGCUGGUGGCCGGGCAGGAGGACCUAGCCCUCCCCACCUGUGCCCGGCGCCCUUGUGCAGACAGAGUUUGUCCCACUGGGGCGGUGGCCCUGGGUGUGAUGGGCUGGGAAGGUCCAGGCUGAGUGCCCAGGAAUCCCUGGAAACGUGGCCCGCCCUGACCCCUGCAGGUCCUGGGCCCCAAGCCCGCUCUGAAGGAGGGCGACCCUGAGGAAGACCUCACAGCUGACCGGACAAACGCCCAGGCUGCGGCUCUGUAUAAGGUCUCUGAUGCCACUGGACAGAUGAGCCUGACCAAGGUGGCCGACUCCAGCCCCUUUGCCCCCGAGAUGCUGAUACCCGACGACUGCUUUGUGCUGGACAACGGGCUCUGCAGCAAGAUCUACAUCUGGAAGGGGCGCAAAGCUAACGAGAAGGAACGGCAGGCGGCCCUGCAAGUGGCUGAGGACUUCAUCGCCCGCAUGCGGUACGCCCCAAACACUCAGGUGGAGAUUCUGCCCCAGGGCCGCGAGAGUCCCAUCUUCAAGCAAUUCUUCAAGGACUGGAAAUGAGGGCGGGCGUCUCCCUGCCCCCACCUGCUGCCCGCUUGCUUCUCCUCCAGCUGCCUGGUCAGCACCGAGAGGCCCCCGCGGAUGAUCAAUAAAGGAGACCAGCGCUCUUCCUGCUCUCUGCCUGCA